UCCCUGGCAGUCUAGUGGUUAAGACUCUAUGCUUCUAAUGCAAGGACUGUGGGUUCGAUUCCUGGUCAGGGAA
rnacentral:tRNA from 1 species